AUUGAACGCUGGCGGCAUGCUUUACACAUGCAAGUCGAACGGUAACAGGCCGCAAGGUGCUGACGAGUGGCGAACGGGUGAGUAAUGCAUCGGAACGUGCCCAGUCGUGGGGGAUAACUACUCGAAAGAGUAGCUAAUACCGCAUACGAUCUAUGGAUGAAAGCGGGGGACCGUAAGGCCUCGCGCGAUUGGAGCGGCCGAUGUCAGAUUAGGUAGUUGGUGGGGUAAAGGCUCACCAAGCCAACGAUCUGUAGCUGGUCUGAGAGGACGACCAGCCACACUGGGACUGAGACACGGCCCAGACUCCUACGGGAGGCAGCAGUGGGGAAUUUUGGACAAAGGGCGCAAGCCUGAUCCAGCAAUGCCGCGUGCAGGAAGAAGGCCUUCGGGUUGUAAACUGCUUUUGUGCGGAACGAAACGGCUCUGGUUAAUACCCGGGGCUAAUGACGGUACCGUAAGAAUAAGCACCGGCUAACUACGUG
rnacentral:rRNA from 1 species